AAACAAAGUAAUUUCACGUUGCAAUGAUUGAUGACUAUAUAGUGGCUAGUGUUUUCCGUCGUCCGUAAAUUUUGCAAUUAUCAGAAACCUAUCUGUCACCUUACGAUUCCAAAAUGUUGCGUUACUUAACAUGUCGUAACCGGUGUGCGUGUGUUCAUAAAAAUUAAUGUUAAGUCAAGCUUUCCGUUCGACAAAAGCCACGUUUUGACAU